GUAUAAAGUUUUUUAUAUGAAUUAUCAGCGUUUGUUCUGUGUUAACCGUACGAAGAGCACAUCGCUGGACUUUCUGUGUGUUCACUCGCUAACUAUGGUGCGCUCUGAGGCAUUGAAAUUGGCUCGCACCUUUUGAACUCUAUGAAAACUCAAGAUGAACGAAUUGUGAAAAUGUGUACAUAUUUAAUGGGUGGAUAUUUUUGUAGCUUUUACCGAAAAGUGAGAAAUUUACGAUUUCAAUUUUGCUAGUGAGCUUCUUAACCAAGUUACUCUCUCGUAAAAUGCUUUUUUAGCCUCAAUGCGCAUGAAAGCACAUAUGCUUGUAUACAUGUACAUAUGCGUACACGUAUAAUUGUACUUAUGUACUUAGAAAAGCUUUCGAUACCAAUGUGGAAGGAGUAAAAAACAUAAACGAAUACCUGUUGGAACUAGUCGGUUAUUUCGAGCAUUACAUAUUAUCGGCUGUACCUGCAAUGUGUAAUGUGUAAGCUUGGAGAUUACAGCUCUAGUUAGGCCCGAGGGUGUGGACUCUGAGAAGGCGAACCGUUGUAGUAUGUACUUCCGUCUCUAGCUUUGUAAUGUUUGGAGGGUGAUGACUGAAGUUCGUAUUUGUUCUUGCACACCUCGGCCGUAUCAAUGUCAUCAGCUUGUACGAAACAGAGGUGCUACUGGUACUGGAGUAUAGUUGCCGGUAUAUUUACGCUGAAUACUAUUUUGGAUUGGAUUUGGCUUGGCAGAAGGUUACUGAAGCUAGUAUACAUACUCAAAAAUGCAUAUAGCAACCCUGAAUAUACGUUUCUGAGAAGCACUGAGUAUUAUAUUUGGCAACAUUGCUCAAAUUUAUGGUAACAUAACAUAAAUCGUAAAAUGUAAAACAUAAAUUACUUGAAAACUUCGUAGGGUUAGUGAAUAUCGGCAAUUUUUUAAAGAUUAAUUAUCAUAAGUUAUAUAAGAGAAGAAUUUGUAAAUUAAUAAAGAAUUCCCGGUGGAUAGCCAAUAUCCACUUGCAAUGUA